rnacentral:rRNA from 1 species
GAUAAACGCUGGCGGCGUGCCUUACGCAUGCAAGUCGAACGGUGUCCUUCGGGGCACAGUGGCGGACGGGUGAGUAACACGUACGUGACCUACCGCGAAGUGGGGGAUACCCGCCCGAAAGGGCGGCUAAUACCGCAUGUGGUCCUUAGGGGUGCCUAGGGAGUAAAGGAGCAAUCCGCUUCGUGAGGGGCGUGCGGCCGAUUAGCUAGUUGGUGGGGUAACGGCCUACCAAGGCGACGAUCGGUAGCUGGGCUGAGAGGCUGAACAGCCACACUGG